CUGUUCUGUGAGCUGUUUGCAUUCUGCUUUCUCGUGACUGCAGUUGAGUUGGAGGAGAGUGCAGCUAAAGCCAAGAGUGGUCCAGUGAAUGAUCGUCAUCAAGCUCAACACUCAGUGAUGCCUGUGCUCACACUUGUGUUAAUUGGUGACUCUAAUUCCAUUGAAAUUGGACCAAAAAACUUCUUGAUUGACCACGAAGAGCAAACAAAUGUGGAGCAGUUUUCAUCCAAACUGUAUGAUUUGUGUGGUCGGCACAUCUCUGUCAUUAACAUGCUUGCUUCUCCAAACAUUGACAAACUCCCAUUAAAUCAGGAAAUUGA